GAUGAACGCUGGCGGCGUGCCUAAUACAUGCAAGUCGAGCGAAUGGAUUAAGAGCUUGCUCUUAUGAAGUUAGCGGCGGACGGGUGAGUAACACGUGGGUAACCUGCCCAUAAGACUGGGAUAACUCCGGGAAAUCGGGGCUAAUACCGGAUAACAUUUUGAACCGCAUGGUUCGAAAUUGAAAGGCGGCUUCGGCUGUCACUUAUGGAUGGACCCGCGUCGCAUUAGCUAGUUGGUGAGGUCACGGCUCACCAAGGCAACGAUGCGUAGCCGACCAGAGAGGGUGAGCGGCCACACUGGGACUGAGACACGGCCCAGACGCCUACGGGAGGCAGCAGUAGGGAAUCUUCCGCAAUGGACGAAAGUCUGACGGAGCAACGCCGCGUGAGUGAUGAAGGCUUUCGGGUCGUAAAACUCUGUUGUUAGGGAAGAACAAGUGCUAGUUGAAUAAGCUGGCACCUUGACGGUACCUAACCAGAAAGCCACGGCUAACUACGUGCCAGCCGCCGCAGUAA
rnacentral:rRNA from 1 species